UCUUCACAGAGCUGAGAAAGCUUGCUAGGGGUAGUGUCAUUGCACCCGAAUCCUUGGGCACGUUGUGGCCAUCAGAAGCCGUGCAGAGACUCCAGAUGGCGGGAGAUACAUUUCCCAAAGCUUCUUUAGUGCAGGAGUCUCUGAGGGCACUGACGGGCCUCUCUCUUGACUGGAACUUGGAAGGAAAAAGUGUAAAUGAGCACUGGGUUGCCUCAGAACCCCAGGAAAGGACUAGAAGGUGUGAGACAUCUGUGUCCUUAGCACAUGAAAGGUGCUUCCACUGCAUCUCCUUGAAGGCGGAUGUCAUCUGGUAAGCUCACACGGCUGCCGAAAGAAGUGUGGUGGGUCCUGCGGCUCCACCCUCAAACCAGUGGACCGGCCAGAACAAACUUUCCUGGAAUAUUGAGCUGCCUUGGAGAACAGAUGGUUUCUCCAGAAGUUAGAGAUACUUAACUCUGAGCAGCCUUAUCAGAAUCUGAAACCCCUGCCAGAUGGAAGAAGUGAACUAUGCCACCCACAAGCAGGAAGACCUGAGACCGGCUGGAACCACAAGGGUGAUGCUGCUGCUGCCCGAGACCUCAUCACAGACCCAACGGAAGAGCAUCCUCGCGUUGAUCAGGGUCUGCUCCUUGAACACCAUAAGACUCCUCAGACCCCUCCAGGACCAGACACACAGACUUUUAUUUAUGUUAAUAUUUUAUUGAUCUAUUUAUUUGGCUGCCUUGGUUCUGAUUUGCAGGUGCGGGAUAGUCCCUCCCUCUGGUGGGAUCUUGCUUGUAGCGCAGAGACUCACCAGCUGUGGGGCAAGGGCUCAGCUGCUCCUGGGCUGUGAGAUCUUAGAUUCCCCACCAGGGAUCGAACCCAGGUCCGCUGCAUUUCAAGAUGGACUCUAAGCCACUGGACGACUGGAAGUCCCAGGACACAGUCUUGAGGGCAUUAGCCUGCUUGGUCCCCCGUGUGUGUCAAAGCAGUAAAGCUAGUUUUUCCAUUUCUCUUAAAACUGUCUCUCUCAGAUGUAAUCUGGCCCCAGGACACAGAGGCCCAAUUUUGGCAAGGAGAUCUGGAGAGAAGCCAGGAGCCAUUGGAAGAACAGGGUCCUGGGGGCAGGAGGGCUGAGGGACCUGAGUCUCACUGGGGUGGAAGGCUGCGAGGGGCCAAAUGGGGCUUCAGGAGGGGAGCCCGGAGGUGGUGUCCUGCGGGCAGCAGGCUCAGCGCUGCGGCGCAGACCCGGGGCUGCGGAGGCAGACUCCCGAUCUCAGCAGAUCGGCCACAGGAGCCGGGGCGGCCCUGAGAGGGGUCGGGGCGCACAGGGCCCGGGCGCCAGUCAUCCAGGGACAGA